AGGAACAGAGAUCCUGCAAAACCCCUGCCCGCUCCAGGGGCUCCCAUCCACCUGGCAAAGACAGGGUCCGCAUCGAGGAGGACGUCGUGGUGACUGACAGUGGCAUGGAGCUGCUGACCUGCGUGCCCCGCACUGUGGAAGAGAUUGAAGCAUGCAUGGCAGGCUGUGACAAGGCCUUUACCCCCUUCUCUGGCCCCAAGUAGAGCCAGCCAGAAAUCCCAGCGCACCUGGGGGCCUGGCCUUGCAACCUCUUUUCGUGAUUGGCAGCCUGCUGGUCAGCACUCCAGUAGCGAGAGACGGCACCCAGAAUCAGAUCCCAGCUUCGGCAUUUGAUCAGACCAAACAGCACUGUUUCCUGGGGAGGAAACACUUUUUUAAUUACCCUUUUGCAGGCUCCCACCUUUAAUCUGUUUUAUACCUUGCUUAUUAAAUGAGCAACUUAAAAUGAUUGAAAAUAAUGCUGUUCUUUAGUAGCAACUAAAAUGUGUCUUGCUGUCAUUUCUAUUCCUUUUCCCAGGAAAGAAGCAUUUCUGAUGAUACUUUCUGUCAAAAAUCAAUAUGCAGAAUGGCAUUUGCAAUAAAAGGUUUCCUAAAA
rnacentral:sRNA from 1 species